UGAGAUUUUAACACGAAGUGAGUGGCGGACGGGUGAGUAACACGUGGGUAACCUGCCCAGAAGCAGGGGAUAACACCUGGAAACAGAUGCUAAUACCGUAUAACAGAGAAAACCGCCUGGUUUUCUUUUAAAAGAUGGCUCUGCUAUCACUUCUGGAUGGACCCGCGGCGCAUUAGCUAGUUGGUGAGGUAACGGCUCACCAAGGCGAUGAUGCGUAGCCGACCUGAGAGGGUAAUCGGCCACAUUGGGACUGAGACACGGCCCAGACUCCUACGGGAGGCAGCAGUAGGGAAUCUUCCACAAUGGACGCAAGUCUGAUGGAGCAACGCCGCGUGAGUGAAGAAGGGUUUCGGCUCGUAAAGCUCUGUUGUUAAAGAAGAACGUGGGUGAGAGUAACUGUUCACCCAGUGACGGUAUUUAACCAGAAAGCCACGGCUAACUACGUGCCAGCAGCCGCGGUAAUACGUAGGUGGCAAGCGUUAUCCGGAUUUAUUGGGCGUAAAGCGAGCGCAGGCGGUCUUUUAAGUCUAAUGUGAAAGCCUUCGGCUCAACCGAAGAAGUGCAUUGGAAACUGGGAGACUUGAGUGCAGAAGAGGACAGUGGAACUCCAUGUGUAGCGGUGAAAUGCGUAGAUAUAUGGAAGAACACCAGUGGCGAAGGCGGCUGUCUGGUCUGUAACUGACGCUGAGGCUCGAAAGCAUGGGUAGCGAACAGGAUUAGAUACCCUGGUAGUCCAUGCCGUAAACGAUGAUUACUAAGUGUUGGAGGGUUUCCGCCCUUCAGUGCUGCAGCUAACGCAUUAAGUAAUCCGCCUGGGGAGUACGACCGCAAGGUUGAAACUCAAAAGAAUUGACGGGGGCCCGCACAAGCGGUGGAGCAUGUGGUUUAAUUCGAAGCUACGCGAAGAACCUUACCAGGUCUUGACAUCUUCUGCCAACCUAAGAGAUUAGGCGUUCCCUUCGGGGACAGAAUGACAGGUGGUGCAUGGUUGUCGUCAGCUCGUGUCGUGAGAUGUUGGGUUAAGUCCCGCAACGAGCGCAACCCUUAUUACUAGUUGCCAGCAUUCAGUUGGGCACUCUAGUGAGACUGCCGGUGACAAACCGGAGGAAGGUGGGGACGACGUCAAAUCAUCAUGCCCCUUAUGACCUGGGCUACACACGUGCUACAAUGGAUGGUACAACGAGUUGCGAAACCGCGAGGUUUAGCUAAUCUCUUAAAACCAUUCUCAGUUCGGACUGUAGGCUGCAACUCGCCUACACGAAGUCGGAAUCGCUAGUAAUCGCGGAUCAGCAUGCCGCGGUGAAUACGUUCCCGGGCCUUGUACACACCGCCCGUCACACCA
rnacentral:rRNA from 1 species